rnacentral:rRNA from 1 species
CAGUAGCCACGGUAAUACGUAGGUCCCGAGCGUUGUCCGGAUUUAUUGGGCGUAAAGGGAGCGCAGGCGGUUUAGUAAGUCUGAAGUUAAAGGCAUUGGCUCAACCAAUGUAUGCUUUGGAAACUGUUAGACUUGAGCGCAGAAGGGGAGAGUGGAAUUCCAUGUGUAGCGGUGAAAUGCGUAGAUAUAUGGAGGAACACCGGUGGCGAAAGCGGCUCCCUGGUCUGUCACUGACGCUGAGGCUCGAAAGCGUGGGUAGCGAACAGGAUUAGAUACCCGCGUAGUCCCUGUCUCUUAUACA